UACGUAGGGUGCGAGCGUUGUCCGGAAUUAUUGGGCGUAAAGGGCUCGUAGGCGGUCUGUCGCGUCAGGAGUGAAAACUCGGGGCUUAACCCCGAGCCUGCUUCUGAUACGGGCAGACUAGAGGUAUGCAGGGGAGAACGGAAUUCCCGGUGUAGCGGUGAAAUGCGCAGAUAUCGGGAGGAACACCAAUGGCGAAGGCAGCUCGCUGGGACGGUACUGACGCUGAGACGCGAAAGCGUGGGGAGCAAACAGG
rnacentral:rRNA from 1 species